rnacentral:misc_RNA from 1 species
UGAGUUGAAGCUUCAUGCUGAUCUUGGCUUCGGAAAUUGCUGAUAUCUAACAUCCCAGAACGUUCACUCUCCGGGAUAUAAGGCUGAGCCCCUUUUUCUAGUGACUGUUGAACGUAAUCAUUAAGGAAAGAGAGGUUUUUAUCAAUCUCAAUAUCUUCACAACUUGCAUCUGAUGGCAGAAUACAUUCAACGGCAUGAGCAUCCAAGCCAAUGAUUGCUUGAAGUUCAUAUACACGCUGCUGCAAGUCUGUUGAGUGGGAAGCUGAUAAUUCCUCAAUCAAAGAUUGACACUCAGGUAAAAUAUCCACUUUUCUUCCAGCAGCAAUUUCAAAAACAAAUAGUUUCAUGAGAGCUGUAACUGCAUAUGACUUAACAAUUUCAUCAUUGGAAUAUGCAUCUGCCACAUCACAUAAUUUCCCAGUAACAUAUGAAGCGGAAAACUUUCCAUCAGCAGUUCCAUAUUCCCCCAAGACCCAACAAAUGACUUGAAGAAAUAAAGAUGGAAGCUUUGGCUCUCCUAUAAUACGCAAAUAUGACUCCACAGCUGAAGAUCUCAACUGACUAUCUGCAGUAUCAUCCUCCUCCCCAAAUCCCUCAGCAAUUAAGCGCAU